rnacentral:tRNA from 1 species
AAAGAAUUAGUUAAUUUAUAACAUUAAAAUGUCAUUUUAAAAUUAAUAUUUAUUAUUCUUUU